UAGUAUAUCUACUGAGAAAAUAUAAUUGGAACAAUACUGAAAUGAUCAGCCACAGUCCCUGUCAGAGAUGACAUUUCUAUUACUAAAGCAUUCCAUAUUUUU